UACGUAGGGUGCAAGCGUUGUCCGGAUUUAUUGGGCGUAAAGAGCUCGUAGGCGGCUUGUCGCGUCGAAUGUGAAAUCUCAGGGCUCAACUCUGACAUUGCAUUCGAUACGGGCAGGCUCGAGUUCGGUAGGGGAGACUGGAAUUCCUGGUGUAGCGGUGAAAUGCGCAGAUAUCAGGAGGAACACCGGUGGCGAAGGCGGAUCUCUGGGCCAUUACUGACGCUGAGGAGCGAAAAGCGUGGGGGAGCGAACAGG
rnacentral:rRNA from 1 species